CGAUAGAUGCCUGCACCGACUGUACCCUCGCUUAUUUCAAUUAUUUGUUAGCAUUUUUGCUUGGAUGUAUUAGUCCUUAUUCAAUGGGCUAAUCAUAAACAAUUGUCGAAUGGAAUAAGUCUCUAUUACGGCAUGGCGUGUAAUAGCAAUUUAAGGACUUAGGGUCUAAAUUAGCUAUUCAAUAUCACCCGUAAUUAUAUUUUUUCCUUUUUGGAUCAAAAUAUCUUGGCUUCUCACCUACAUUGUUUUCACUCUUCACUUCAAACCAUUUCAUUCUUCCUCGACUUUUUUUCCCAAAGUGAACCCUAGAAAUUAGCUUAUUAAUCGACGACAAAUCAAGCAUUCACUCACCAUCUUCAUCUUUCUUCCAGUUGAACCUCCUUAUUUAUGGUUCUGAUUGGGGGUGUUUUCAAGAUAUAUAUCAUAUCUUCAUUUGGCACACAUUUAUGAACAAGGUUAUCAGGUUGCUUUAGCAUAUUUCGGAGUUGCAAUUGGAUUCUACCAGGGGGUAUGAGAGUAAACCUAAACACCUUCCCUCUUAUAUAAGAUCUUUGGUUAGUUCUAUGUUUUUCCUUAAAUUGUUUUUGGUCCACUUUUGAAUUGCAUACUUCAAGCUGUCAAGUAAAUGAAAUCCUAUACUUCUUGCUUAAUAUAAAUUCUAGAAGUAAAAAAUUUAUCUACGAUAUUUUAGAUGUUCAUCAUUAAUUUUGUGAAUCCUACUUUUUCCUGUUGGUAACUUUAAACUGGAUGGGGGUCAACUUCUAUUUAAGGGCUAACUAGUCUUAAUAGAAUCUAUUGAAGCUUUUUCUUAUUUCUUUUGUUGAAGAUGUUAUGUUGUUUAUAAAUCCACAUUACUUUUACUUUUUUAAUUUAUCUAAGAACUUCAUCUUAUCAAGGGCAUCAAUCAUACCAUUUUUCUCCUCUCUUCUUCUUUGGCUGAAUUUUUUUUACAGAGCACCCAUUUUUCUCUUUGGUUGAAGUGCAAUAAAUUUUGAACUUAGAGAUUAAGACAUAUUGCAGUCAAUACCUUUUAUUUAUUUGUAGUCAUGGAAGUAAAAAAGCGAAAAUGGGGAGCUUGGAUGAAUUGAUGUUGGAUUAUACAAACAUACACUAGUUAAUAGUUAAAAAUCAGUAACUCUUUGUUGACAUUUUUCUUUUCAGAGUCGAGGCUAUGAACUUUUGGGUAUUUAAGCUAUGCCUACUUAAUCUAGUUUUUUCUCUUUUAAGGGGUUAUCUUGCUUAUUUUUUGUAAUGUGCAAUGACCAUUUUGUUUAUUUUUCAAAUAGAGGGAUUGUAAUGCAAUUUAAGAUAUAAGACAAUGACUUGUAUAAUAUUUUUACCAUUGGUAAUUCAUUUUACAACUAGUGGGAUUAAUUUAUUAAUUAUAUGGUAAUUCUCUGAGCAUA